UACGUAGGGGGCAAGCGUUGUCCGGAAUUACUGGGCGUAAAGCGCGUGUAGGCGGGACGGUUAGUCGGACGUGAAAGGCUGGGGCUCAACCCCAGAUCGCCGUUCGAAACUGCCGUUCUUGAGGGUCGAAGAGGAGAGUGGAAUUCCUGGUGUAGCGGUGAAAUGCGUAGAUAUCGGGAGGAACACCAGUGGCGAAGGCGACUACCUGGCCUGUUCUUGACGCUGAGGCGCGAAAGCUAGGGGAGCAAACGGG
rnacentral:rRNA from 1 species